rnacentral:rRNA from 1 species
AUGAUUUUCUGCAGCUUGCCACAUAUAGAUAGUUUUAUUGCCAUUACGGGUCUUAUGUUAUGUCUUCUUAUAUGUUGGAUCUCUGUAUGGUUCCGAAAUUAUCUUGAUGAGACACCUUGCUUGUUGUAUUUUUCUUGUCUUCAUGACAGACAUUUUCCUUACAUUACUUCUAAUUCAUUGACUUACUUAUUUAUUUUGCAGUACUCUGUGGGCUGUGACAUCGCUCAUUACUUGUUGGCGAGGCAUGAUGAUACACCUGUGAUUGACAAGGAAACUCACAGGCUUGCUGCUGUGAAUAUGGACUGGGAUCAUAUUAAGGCGGUGGACUUGUAUAUGGUCAUGACAUCCUGUAUCCCGAAAGGUGGGCGAGUUGUAUCAGUUUCGAUAUAUCCAACAGAAUUUGGACUGAAGUGCAUGAACAUUGAGGCAACUCAAGGCCCUUCUGCUCUUAUUGGCGCUGAUGGUGAUGGUGAUGGGGAUGAGGAUGGGGAAGAUGAUAACAACGAUGAUAACGAUGACGAUGAUGAUGGCGAAGAAGAUAGUGACCUUGACUAUGAGACUGAGAACAACAAGCUCCGUACUUAUGAGCUAAACAAACUCAGGUACUACUAUGCAGUUGUGGUGUGUGAUUCUAGUACAACUGCAGAUCACCUAUACACAACUCUUGAUGGUACUGAAUUCUUGAAAACGGCAAAUGUGUUCCACGGACAAGGGUAUUUUCAACGCUGA